rnacentral:rRNA from 1 species
GGAGGCAGCAGUGGGGAAUAUUGCACAAUGGGGGAAACCCUGAUGCAGCGACGCCGCGUGGAGGAAGAAGGUCUUCGGAUUGUAAACUCCUGUUGUUGAGGAAGAUAAUGACGGUACUCAACAAGGAAGUGACGGCUAACUACGUGCCAGCAGCCGCGGUAAAACGUAGGUCACAAGCGUUGUCCGGAAUUACUGGGUGUAAAGGGAGCGCAGGCGGGAGAACAAGUUGGAAGUGAAAUCCAUGGGCUCAACCCAUGAACUGCUUUCAAAACUGUUUUUCUUGAGUAGUGCAGAGGUAGGCGGAAUUCCCGGUGUAGCGGUGGAAUGCGUAGAUAUCGGGAGGAACACCAGUGGCGAAGGCGGCCUACUGGGCACCAACUGACGCUGAGGCUCGAAAGUGUGGGUAGCAAACAGGAUUAGAUACCCUGGUAGUCCACACCGUAAACGAUGAUUACUAGGUGUUGGAGGAUUGACCCCUUCAGUGCCGCAGUUAACACAAUAAGUAAUCCACCUGGGGAGUACGACCGCAAGGUUGAAACUCAAAGGAAUUGACGGGGGCCCGCACAAGCAGUGGAGUAUGUGGUUUAAUUCGACGCAACGCGAAGAACCUUACCAAGUCUUGACAUCCCUUGACGAUGCUGGAAACAGUAUUUCUCUUCGGAGCAAGGAGACAGGUGGUGCAUGGUUGUCGUCAGCUCGUGUCGUGAGAUGUUGGGUUAAGUCCCGCAACGAGCGCAACCCUUAUGGUCAGUUACUACGCAAGAGGACUCUGGCCAGACUGCCGUUGACAAAACGGAGGAAGGUGGGGAUGACGUCAAAUCAUCAUGCCCUUUAUGACUUGGGCUACACACGUACUACAAUGGCGUUAAACAAAGAGAAGCAAGACCGCGAGGUGGAGCAAAACUCAGAAACAACGUCCCAGUUCGGACUGCAGGCUGCAACUCGCCUGCACGAAGUCGGAAUUGCUAGUAAUCGUGGAUCAGCAUGCCACGGUGAAUACGUUCCCAGGCCGUGCACA